UUGAUAUGAUCCAGGUUCUGUAUUCCACUCUCAUCUUUCUUCCUUUACCUCCAAAUGAGGUCUGUUUUUACCAGUUAUGCAGUUCCAAUAUUUCUUUGCCUUUCAUCCCAACUUCUUUUCGAUUUUUUCACUUCCAUAUCUUCUCAUUCAGUUAUUGUCUCUACAUUAUAUGAUGUUUGGCUAUUGUUCGUGGCAAUCUCAGUUGUUGCAAGCCACAUCAUUUUGACAUAUUAAAAGAUGAUUCCUUUUUUAAGGUGCUUGUGGACUUCUCAGGAUUGUGAAUCACUUGGCCACCAAUGGAUGCUAUUGCCACGCAUAAGGGCUAAAGUCUUCAUGGUUAAGCCUGCAAAGGCUUGCUUGGCUAACUUAAAGGAUGGGUUUGUUAUUUUGCAAGACAAAAGUUAUUUCUUUACAAACAUGGUAUAUAUAUAUAUAUGCACUUGCCAUGUGUAUUUGUAUACAGAUAAGCCAUAUGAAGAUAUUAAUGUUCGUAACUCACAAUACUGAACUGACUUUCAAUAUAUAAAAUAAGAAAAAGACUGGAAACCUGAACUGUGGGAGCUAAUACUGAUUGACCUGCCAGCAAUAAGGACACCUGAGUAGACAGCCAGCAAUUUGAAAACUUGACAAUUAUUUAAACUAUCUUUAAAACUUUUAAACGCUGGACUCUUUAAUCCCAUUCUAAACACAAUUUGUGUUAUUAUUAAUGAUUGCUAUAGAUUGAUUUUAAAUUCUGUAUCUUUGCUGGCCAAAACCUUAUAUCUUUUAGAUCAUUCUUGUAGUAUAUUAAACAGAUGGUUUAUUUUUUAGACCUGGGGUAAUUAAUAUCUGUAUAGACAAACAGCCCAAGAAAGGCAAACACAUACUUAUUUUUCUUAUAAUCAUUGUUAAUUUGACAUGAAAUUAGGCCUUUAGGUUUUGGGUGCAUGCUGGGCAGAUCGGAAAGGAAGGAAGGGUGGCAGAGCAGAGCAGGAGAGAGAAAAGCAUAGAAAGCCAGAAGAGCCCAAAGAAAUUAACAAGGCCCUCUGCUGACUGAACACCAACCUGAAGUAAUUCUGCAUCUACACUUUAAAAGACACAUCGUACACAGUACAGUAUUUUUAAUAAGACCCUUUUUCAAAUACAUUUCUUAUCCUUUAAAGUGUCAUUCCAAAUACAUUACCUAGUUUUGCUAACAUCGGUUUUACUGUGUUUUUAUUAAUGUUGCUUUAUAAUAAAUUGUAUCCUUUUUGAUUGGGUACAGGUAUAUUGUUAAGAGCGCCUGGUGUGGAUGAUUGCCAUAUUCCCUCAGGGGUUAGCAGCUGAGAACAGGCAUCUUCAAUACAAAGCAGUUCAGUGAGCAGUGGCACAAGUGCAGCUCAUGUUUGAAGACAACCGUUUAGUCUGCUUGUGCUGAGCUGUAUACAGGUAAAACCCCUGCCUGUUUCCCAUUGCCUGUCCUUUUUGGUGCCAUCUCUUGACAGCACUGCAUCCUUCAAUCUCCCUGAAGUCAUAACACGUGCCUGUACGAGCUAGAGAUUACCGAUAAGGCGCACCAACAGAUUGAAGAAUACAGAAAAAAACAGAGAAACUGAUUUGGAGAGACAAAAAGAAGGAGCAUUUACAGCCUGAAGCUUGGGAUAGCAGUUAGUGUGGACUAAGCUGGAAUGUUCCUAAUGAUGAGAACUGGACUCCAUCUGAGGCGGACUCUUGCCUUGCAGUCAUUGAUGCUUGGAUGGGCUCUGCCCCUAUGAACCCUGAAAUGGAUUAGUUCUACUGACCCAGUCCUGGCGGCCGAAAAAAAUUACUUAAGUGCAAAUCCACUUAAUGAAGGGGCAGUAUUUCAAAUGAAACGCAGCUUUCACAGCAAUUGCAGAGAUGUUACCUUUAAUUUUGAGGAAGCCUUUUCUUGUGUGUCGUCGCUGGAAGAACUGGUCUCCUGCAGGUUCAUCUGAUCUACCGCCAGCUGCUGAGUGAUGCCUUAUCAUCAAAAAGAUUGCAGGUUUCUGGCAAUACUCCAGCAACACAAGGGACAGGGCAGGAACCAACCCUGGAUAAGGCGAUCAAGUGGACCAGUUUCAUCUGAAGUCUUCUUCACUUAAAAACCAAGAACAGCCUUUUACAAAUAUGUCAACCCUGCAGAGGUCACCUUAUGAAGCCCCAAUAAAAGACCAACUGCAGGUACCUGAAAAGAUGAGGAAACAUACAGUACUGUAACUGUUUGGGAAGUCUUGUAAACAUCCACUGCGUCUGACAUCUUCUCAAAAUGCUAAGAACAGAAGGAAAGAGUCAAAAUAAGAAUUACGUUCUGAUUAAGAGGCAAACUGCAGCAAAACUGAGUAUGCAUAUCCUCUAAAAUGGAGUUGGAACCUGAGAAGCACCACUAAAGGAGUCCCUCAGAGCAAUCUAGAUUGUCACUUUUUAAUGAUGUCAUCGAAAGAGGAAGAGUGAGACACAUGAGGAGGAGUAAAGGCACAAGAGUCACCUACAAAGAUGGGAAGUACAAAAUCUGACAGGAGCUGAGCAAGACGCCUCGAAAUGACAGUCUGAGAAGCAGGCCUUACAGGAACAUGCUCAAGAGCGGGAGCGCUGGAGAAAAGAGGCUAAGGCACACGUGAAUACCGAGGAAAGGUGCUAAAGUUUGUUCACCAAGCAGAGAACUUAUUGUGCUGGUAAAUCUGCUGAACGUUUACCGUACCUGAGGAGAUGACAGCGGAGAACGAGAUGUCACAUGAGAUGGAUAUGAAGA